CAGAAACGAACGCGACAAAUUAUAUGCAGAACUAAUAAGAUUCCAUCCAUUCAGAGAAUAGAACAGCAUACAUUUUUGGGCACUCACGCUGGAGCUGUGUGUAGGCUGACUAUGGGUACUCAACCGUUAAACGUCAUAGAAAAAAGCAUGCCCUUCUCAAAUACAUUUGAAUACUAGAAAAGUAGUGUUCGAGGAGGUUUAUGUGCAUAAUCAGCAGCGGCAAAAAGCGUGUCGCGCUGGCAUCAACGGGAUCCAGGAGGGCAUAUACAGAGUCUGCUGCAAGAAAUUGCAUGCUGAUACUGUAAGAUAUUGAAUCUUGGUCUGAAAUGAAGGACUUGUGGCAAGUUAAGUAGUCCUGCUCUCUAGUCUCUAGGGUGCCAAGCUGUUUAAACGGCUGAAUGCUAUGGACAUCGGACAAGCAUUUGCCUGUUGGAUUACAUCUACCCAGUGAAGUAUAGCUCGGUGUCAUCUAUUGCAACAUUCUUGUUGACGAAUCAACUUUAAGGCUGCUAUGCUUCCUAGAAAAAUCUUCAUUUCAUCUUUUUUGUAUUGGCUGCUGCUGCAGGUUCCCUAACAUUCACAGCUCUCAAGGCCCGCUGUUGCCGAAAAGGAUUUCCGGGGAGGGCUCCUUGCCGUGAACACGCGCGACUUAUCCGAGAGCCUUACACAUAAAUAUAUUGGAAGCAAUCCUCGUUGGGGGAGCUCGCUAGCGAUGAGAAUCCCGUCGCCUUUUGGAGUUGGGAAGGAAAUAUUUUACACUAUGCCGAACAGGGGCGCGAUUUAGGCGAGUCCUUCCCAAUACCCGACAUGGAGGUCCUCGCAAAUUUCCUUGAUGAAUGUCUAACAGAACAACCUGUUUUCAGUAUGUGCGGCUGUCGUAACUACCGCUACGUUUAAAUCCGAAACGGAGACACCCGCGUUUAAGCUAAUCAGUGCCAUUUUCUUUAGCUUAUGAUAAGAGGUGCCGAUGGCUUUGUAAGUCCCGAGGAUCCACGCGGAGCCGACCAUUCAUCCGAUGCGCAUUUAGGUCCUCAAGGCAUCCAGCUUAGAAAGGUGGAGGGUAGUCACCUUGCCUUCAACGUCCGCAGUGCCAGCCGCACUAUCCAGGUCGUAGCACAAGGCCCGUAGGAGUCCUGCAGCCCAUUCCCCGGCAACACAAGACGUAACUCCUUAAACACACGAUGGUACAUGGACCCUUCUGGAUCAACCAGUUUAAGGCUAGCCUAGCCCAGAAGAAAUGAAGGGGGUGCUGAUUAACUUUCCGGAAAAAUACGUGCAUUCGGA
rnacentral:lncRNA from 1 species